UAUUAAAAAUUUCAACCAUUUAUACGAUUAAAAACUGGGGAGGUUGUUGGAAUAACUAGACAGUGACAUGUGAAGUGUCACGUGCACCCCAUGUCGUAUAGGGAUCGAUUUUUAACAACAAAAAUAGAUGAAAAUUUUAACA
rnacentral:pre_miRNA from 1 species